GGGGAUAUAGCUCAGUGGCAAAGCAUCUGCCUGGCAAACAGAAGGUCAUGAGUUUGAUCCCA
rnacentral:tRNA from 1 species